UACGGAGGGGGCGAGCGUUAUUCGGAAUUAUUGGGCGUAAAAGGCGCGUAGGCGGCUUGGUAAGUCAAAGGUGAAAUCCCUCGGCUCAACUGAGGAAUUGCCUUUGAAACUGCCUGGCUCGAGGCCGGGAGGGGGUAGCGGAAUUCCCAGUGUAGCGGUGAAAUGCGUAGAUAUUGGGAGGAACACCGGUGGCGAAGGCGGCUACCUGGACCGGUUCUGACGCUGAUGCGCGAAAGCGUGGGGAGCAAACAGG
rnacentral:rRNA from 1 species